rnacentral:rRNA from 1 species
UACGUAGGGUGCAAGCGUUGUCCGGAAUUAUUGGGCGUAAAGAGCUCGUAGGCGGUCUGUCGCGUCGGCUGUGAAAUCCCGGAGCUCAACUCCGGGUCUGCAGUCGAUACGGGCAAACUGGAGUACUGCAGGGGAGACUGGAAUUCCUGGUGUAGCGGUGAAAUGCGCAGAUAUCAGGAGGAACACCGGUGGCGAAGGUGGGUCUCUGGGCAGUAACUGACGCUGAGGAGCGAAAGCGUGGGGAGCGAACAGG